rnacentral:rRNA from 1 species
CCUACGGGUGACAGCAGUGAGGAAUAUUGGUCAAUGGACGGAAGUCUGAACCAGCCAUGCCGCGUGCAGGAUGACGGCUCUAUGAGUUGUAAACUGCUUUUGUACGACGGUAAUAUCAGAUACGUGUAUCUGCUUGACAGUAUAGUACGAAUACGGAUAGGCUAACUCCGUGCCAGCAGCCGCGGUAAUACGGAGGAUCCAAGCGUUAUCCGGAGUUAUUGGGUUUAAAGGGUGCGUAGGCGGAUUUAUAAUUUAGAGGUGAAAAUUCGGAGCUUAACUCCGGAAGUGCGGCUAAUACUGUAGGACUAGAGAGUAGAUGCGGUAGGCGGAAUGUAUGGUGUAGCGGUGAAAUGCGUAGAGAUCAUACAGAACACCGAUUGCGAAGGCAGCUUACCGGCCUGUAACUGACGCUGAUGCACGAAAGCGUGGGGAGCGAACAGGAUUAGAUACCCGAGUAGUC